CGGGCAGGUGGUCUUUUAAGUCCUUUGUGAAAUCCCGGGGCUCAACUCCGGAUGUGCAUAGGAUACUGGAGGACUGGAGACUGGUAGAGGCGAGCGGAAUUCCUGGUGUAGCGGUGGAAUGCGUAGAUAUCAGGAAGAACACCGGUGGCGAAGGCGGCUCGCUGGGCCAGUUCUGACACUCAUCCGCGAAAGCGUGGGAGCAAACA
rnacentral:rRNA from 1 species